AUUGAACGCUGGCGGUAUGCUUAACACAUGCAAGUCGAACGAUGAGAAAGAGCUUGCUCUUUCGAUUAGUGGCGGACGGGUGCGUAACGCGUAGGAAUCUACCUAUUAGUGGGGGACAACUUAGGGAAACUUAAGCUAAUACCGCAUACGCCCUACGGGGGAAAGGAGGGGAUCGCAAGACCUUUCGCUAAUAGAUGAGCCUGCGUAGGAUUAGCUAGUUGGUGGGGUAAAGGCUCACCAAGGCGACGAUCCUUAACUGGUUUGAGAGAAUGAGCAGGCACACUGGAACUGAGACACGGUCCAGACUCCUACGGGAGGCAGCAGUGGGGAAUAUUGGACAAUGGGCGAAAGCCUGAUCCAGCAAUACCGCGUGUGUGAAGAAGGCCUUAGGGUUGUAAAGCACUUUCAAUUGGAAGGAAAACCUCAUAGCUAAUAUCUGUGAGUUUGACAUUACCUUUAGAAGAAGCACCGGCUAACUCCGUGCCAGCCGCCGCCGUAAGAC
rnacentral:rRNA from 1 species